AGAGUUUGAUACUGGCUCAGGACGAACGCUGGCGGCGUGCCUAAUACAUGCAAGUAGAACGCUGAAGGGAGGAGCUUGCUCUUCUUGGAUGAGUUGCGAACGGGUGAGUAACGCGUAGGUAACCUGCCUUGUAGCGGGGGAUAACUAUUGGAAACGAUAGCUAAUACCGCAUAACAAUGGAUGACACAUGUCAUUUAUUUGAAAGGGGCAAUUGUUCCACUACAAGAUGGACCUGCGUUGUAUUAGCUAGUAGGUGAGGUAAUGGCUCACCUAGGCGACGAUACAUAGCCGACCUGAGAGGGUGAUCGGCCACACUGGGACUGAGACACGGCCCAGACUCCUACGGGAGGCAGCAGUAGGGAAUCUUCGGCAAUGGGGGCAACCCUGACCGAGCAACGCCGCGUGAGUGAAGAAGGUUUUCGGAUCGUAAAGCUCUGUUGUAAGUCAAGAACGGGUGUGAGAGUGGAAAGUUCACACUGUGACGGUAGCUUACCAGAAAGGGACGGCUAACUACGUGCCAGCAGCCGCGGUAAUACGUAGGUCCCGAGCGUUGUCCGGAUUUAUUGGGCGUAAAGCGAGCGCAGGCGGUUUGAUAAGUCUGAAGUUAAAGGCUGUGGCUCAACCAUAGUUCGCUUUGGAAACUGUCAAACUUGAGUGCAGAAGGGGAGAGUGGAAUUCCAUGUGUAGCGGUGAAAUGCGUAGAUAUAUGGAGGAACACCGGUGGCGAAAGCGGCUCUCUGGUCUGUAACUGACGCUGAGGCUCGAAAGCGUGGGGAGCGAACAGGAUUAGAUACCCUGGUAGUCCACGCCGUAAACGAUGAGUGCUAGGUGUUGGAUCCUUUCCGGGAUUCAGUGCCGCAGCUAACGCAUUAAGCACUCCGCCUGGGGAGUACGACCGCAAGGUUGAAACUCAAAGGAAUUGACGGGGGCCCGCACAAGCGGUGGAGCAUGUGGUUUAAUUCGAAGCAACGCGAAGAACCUUACCAGGUCUUGACAUCCCGAUGCUAUUUCUAGAGAUAGAAAGUUACUUCGGUACAUCGGUGACAGGUGGUGCAUGGUUGUCGUCAGCUCGUGUCGUGAGAUGUUGGGUUAAGUCCCGCAACGAGCGCAACCCCUAUUGUUAGUUGCCAUCAUUCAGUUGGGCACUCUAGCGAGACUGCCGGUAAUAAACCGGAGGAAGGUGGGGAUGACGUCAAAUCAUCAUGCCCCUUAUGACCUGGGCUACACACGUGCUACAAUGGUUGGUACAACGAGUUGCGAGUCGGUGACGGCGAGCUAACCUCUUAAAGCCAAUCUCAGUUCGGAUUGUAGGCUGCAACUCGCCUACAUGAAGUCGGAAUCGCUAGUAAUCGCGGAUCAGCACGCCGCGGUGAAUACGUUCCCGGGCCUUGUACACACCGCCCGUCACACCACGAGAGUUUGUAACACCCGAAGUCGGUGAGGUAACCUUUUGGAGCCAGCCGCCUAAGGUGGGACAGAUGAUUGGGGUGAAGUCGUAACAAGGUA
rnacentral:rRNA from 1 species